rnacentral:rRNA from 1 species
UGGCGGCGUGCUUACACAUGCAAGUCGUACGAGAACUCUUCUGCUUGCAGAAGAUAGUAAAGUGGCGCACGGGUGAGUAACGCGUGGGUAAUCUACCUCCGAAUUGGGGAUAACAUUGCGAAAGCGAUGCUAAUACCGGAUAAUAUCUCUCGAACUUCGGUUUUUGAGAUCAAAGGUGGUCUCUACAUGUAAGCUACCGUUUGGAGAUGAGCCCGCGUACCAUUAGCUUGUUGGUAGGGUAACGGCCUACCAAGGCCGCGAUGGUUAGCUGGUCUGAGAGGAUGAUCAGCCACACUGGAACUGACACACGGUCCAGACUCCUACGGGAGGCAGCAGUGAGGAAUUUUGCGCAAUGGGGGAAACCCUGACGCAGCAACGCCGCGUGAGUGAUGAAGGCCUUCGGGUCGUAAAGCUCUGUCAAGUGGGAAGAAACUGUUUGAUGCUAAUACCAUCAUACACUGACGGUACCACUGAAGGAAGCACCGGCUAACUCCGUGCCAGCAGCCGCGGUAAUACGGGGGGUGCAAGCGUUAUUCGGAAUUAUUGGGCGUAAAGGGCGCGUAGGCGGUCUCUUAAGUCAGAUGUGAAAGCCCGGGGCUUAACUCCGGAAGUGCAUUUGAAACUAAGGGACUUGAGUAUGGGAGAGGGAAGUGGAAUUCCUGGUGUAGCGGUGAAAUGCGUAGAUAUCAGGAGGAACACCGGUGGCGAAGGCGACUUCCUGGACCAAUACUGACGCUAAGGCGCGAAGGCGUGGGGAGCAAACAGGAUUAGAUACCCUGGUUAGUCCACGCAGUAAACGGUGAACACUAGGUGUAGCGGGUAUUGACCCCUGCUGUGCCGCAGCUAACGCAUUAAGUGUUCCGCCUGGGGAAGUACGAUCGCAAGAUUAAAACUCAAAGGAAUUGACGGGGGACCGCACAAGCGGUGGAGCAUGUGGUUUAAUUCGACGCAACGCGAAAAACCUUACCUGGAUUGACAUCCCGAAAAGUCUUUCGAAAGAUUGAUGUGCCCUUCGGGGAACUCGGUGACAGGUGCUGCAUGGCUGUCGUCAACUCGUGUCGUGAAAUGUUGGGUUAAGUCCC